CAGACGUACAAGGCACCAACCCACACACAAGGCCACCGACUCACAGCCCACCCCCUCGACGCCAGUGCACGAUACUUUCACAAUCGUCAACCGACACGCCAACAACAAUGGUGUCCCACUCUUUACCCCUAAUCCUGUUAAAUCAAAUUGUAACUCACCCAACUAGAAGGAUUGCACUUGUACCCCCUCCCCUUCUCUUUAU